GUGGGGAAUUUUGGACAAUGGGCGCAAGCCUGAUCCAGCAAUGCCGCGUGCAGGAAGAAGGCCUUCGGGUUGUAAACUGCUUUUGUACGGAACGAAACGGUCCGGGUUAAUACCCUGGGCUAAUGACGGUACCGUAAGAAUAAGCACCGGCUAACUACGUGCCAGCAGCCGCGGUAAUACGUAGGGUGCGAGCGUUAAUCGGAAUUACUGGGCGUAAAGCGUGCGCAGGCGGUGAUGUAAGACAGUUGUGAAAUCCCCGGGCUCAACCGGGGAACUGCAUCUGUGACUGCAUUGCUGGAGUGCGGCAGAGGGGGAUGGAAUUCCGCGUGUAGCAGUGAAAUGCGUAGAUAUGCGGAGGAACACCGAUGGCGAAGGCAAUCCCCUGGGCCUGCACUGACGCUCAUGCACGAAAGCGUGGGGAGCAAACAGGAUUAGAAACCCCUGUAGUCC
rnacentral:rRNA from 1 species